AUGGAUCAGUGGGACGAUCUGGUUAAGGUGGUAAACUCUUGGCAUUUAUCCGAUGAGGCGGGUCAUAUUAGCUGGAGGUUGGGGAGGAAAGGUAAAUUCUCGACCAAAUCGGUCUACACUUAUUUGGAAAGAACCCUGGCUGGAUGUGAUUUCAGAUGGAUAUGGAAAGCAAAAAUUCCUCUCAAAAUCCAAAUUUUUCUUUGGCAAUUGUUCCAAGACGCGGUUUUGACUCGAGAAGUCAUGAGAAGGCGAAAGUGGGCAGGCAAUCCUAGAUGCUCGUUUUGCGUUUUGCUGUGA
rnacentral:rRNA from 1 species